CAGUGACAGGACCUGAGGGGAUGGCCUGAAACUGUGUCAGAGGAGGCAUGGGUUGGAUAUCAGGAGAAUGUUUUUCACCCAGAGGGAGGUUGGGCACUGGAACAGGCUUCCCAGAAGUGAACGCAGCACCAAGCCUAGAAAAGCAUUUGGACAAAGCUCUGAGGGAAUGACUAUGCUGUGCCUGUAGCUGAUAACAGAUGAACCAUGGAAAGACUUGUACAGCAUUGAAGCACCAGUCUAUUCUGUUUUAAGACAGAAACAGGCAUGUAAUACACUGAAGCUCUACUUCAUCUUCACAUGUUCAAGAUGAAGGAAAAAUAAGUGAGAAAGCCUCUGUAAGAUGAUGAUAUGUGUGCCCAUUGCCUGAACGCAAGGUUUGCAAAAAAAAGCCAUGUGUUACCCUACAGGCACUGUGCUGACAAUGCAGGACACAACUAAGACCAAACACUGCAGCUGAAAAUCUUGUAAACUAAUUGUUUAAACAAUAUGUACUCUGAAAUGCAUGUCACUGUUAAAAGAGUUUUUAUGAAGAAAAUUAAAAGUUUUGUGACGCUGACAUUGCAUCACUAGUUUAAAGAUUAAAACAUUUUAGCUGUUCUUUUUUUAUAUGUUUUCUCACUAUGAUUUUUAUGUUCCAUGCUGUAUUAACCACAUUAGUGUCUUUCUAAAAGUAAUUCACAUACACUUCAGG